rnacentral:rRNA from 1 species
UACGGAGGGGGCAAGCGUUGUCCGGAAUCAUUGGGCGUAAAGCGCGCGUAGGUGGCCUCGUAAGUCCGCUGUGAAAGUCAAAGGCUCAACCUUUGAAAGCCGGUGGAUACUGUGAGGCUAGAGUACGGAAGAGGCGAGUGGAAUUCCUGGUGUAGCGGUGGAAUGCGCAGAUAUCAGGAGGAACACCAAUAGCGAAGGCAGCUCGCUGGGACGUUACUGACACUGAGGCGCGAAAGCGUGGGGAGCGAACAGG